CUCGCUCUGUUGUUCAGAAUUAUUAGUGAAACUCAAGUCAAAGUAAAACCUCAGAAUUCCUUCGUUAUUGUUGUUAUCCUUAGUGUUUCCCUUAGCUUCAUCGUCACAUUCAAUAUUUCAGACCUUCAGCGCAUCGCAUUAUCGCGGUUACAUUAUGAAUUUAUAUAUAAGGGACACAUCAUGUCUAACAAAACAACUGGUAUCGUAAAGUGGUUUAACGAAGAAAAAGGUUUUGGUUUCAUUACUCAAGACAACGGCGGCGCUGACGUUUUCGUUCACUUCCGUGCAAUUGCUUCUGAAGGUUUCAAAACUCUGUCUGAAGGUCAAAAAGUAUCUUUCGACGUAGAACAAGGUCAAAAAGGCCCUCAAGCAGCUAACGUAGUAGCGCUGUAAUUUGACAAGUUGGCGUAAGUGGUACUAUUACCAUUUACGCCAA
rnacentral:sRNA from 1 species